GUUGCUCUUCUUUCCGGGUCUUCUCCUUUCCCUUUAAUUCUCAAACGAUAGGUUGCUCAAUUUCUCAUCUCUACGACUGCUUUUUCUCUGUCUUUUAUUUUUUGCUUCUCGAAUACCGGGCAUUUCUUCCUAUUUCCUCGCAUUUUAGCACCCACUAAUGAAUGAUUCUGUUGUAUUUGCCAUCUUGGAGGUUUGUUUCGGUGGAUCAACUCUUGCAAGUCUUUGUCAUCUAAAAUACCAUUUUUUGAGAAAUUGUGUUCUUAGAUCUUUACAAUGAUAUUCAUCUUGGCAAGGGUUACAAAAGAGAUUGUGGAUUUAAGAUGAAUUAGUUCAGGUAAUGUUUUCUUCAUUUUUUUUGUUUAAUGUGCUGAGUUUAUGGCUAAUAUGUUACUUUUCUAAUUUUUUGGAUUGUUAUUGUAGAAUUUCAUAUAUGCAUGUAAUGAUUUCAUUUGAUUUAUUAUAUAUAUAUAUAAUCCCUAACUUUUUGUGGGUUUUCUUUACAUUUCUCUUUUAAAUCCGCUUGUAAUAUUAGUGAUGCCCAUAAAGUACUUGAUAAUAUCUACACUAGGAAAAGCUUACAUAUUUCUUAAUUUGCAUUAUUAUUAUUAUUAUUAUUAUUAUUAUUAUUAUUAUUAUUAUUAUUUUAUUGGGUCUCUUUGAAAUAGUGAAAUUAUUCCCAUAUUAUCUUUAUGUUUAUAGGUAAUGGAGAAUUUUUUUGAUAUUUCUUUAUGUUAUCUUUGUUCUAUAUUUUGAUGAGUUUGUUAAAAAUUAGUAGUUCAUAUGGAUUAGUGCUUUUGUGUGUUUGAAUCAAACUUUUGUGUUUAGAUUUUAAAGAUCACAAUUUUAAAAUUUGGGUUCAACUGUAUGGUUUGCUGUUUGCGUGUUAGAGCUUAUGAUUGUUUACUGUCAAAGAGAAUUUGCUACCUUUCUCUUUAUACACAAUAUAUAUCUCUAUGAUAUAUUCACUGCAUGAAGUGCAACACUUAAUUUUCGGGGGCACAAUUAGUAAAUAUAUUAUGUAUUUAUUAUACUUAAUUAGUAAAUCUAUUAUGUGUUAUAUAUUAUACUGAAGGAUGUUUCAUGUCAUAGCCUAAAACACUACUCUUUCUGGUGGUGUUUAGUUCUAUUAUUCUUUAUUGAUCUAUUAGUGCAUAUUGCAAAACUAAAAUCAUUGUUCAUCAACUUAGAUCUAAAAAGAAGAAAAAGGCCAAAUCUUUUGUUUAAUCGCAAGAAAAAGCAACAUAGAUGUCGUUGUUACAUUUUCAAAUAGGAGGUUGGUUAAAGAAACCAACAGAUGGAUUAAUUUCCACAAAUUAUAAUGGAAGUUCUCCUGAAAUAAUUGGAAUUGAAUUGAUCAACAUGAAUAUCAUGAUACAAUAGCAGCUUUCUCAGAUUACUUAUUAUUUUUCUAUUCAUGUAAAAAGUUUGUAAUAUUGCAAAAGAGUUUCUUUCUCAGAUUAUUUAAAGCUCAGCUUUAUCUCUUAAAGGUCUAUCAUCUUAUUACUUUGCUCUAGAAGCUAUAUUCAUCUUUAUAUCUUAUGAUUUCGUAUUUUUCUUUAUCUUAGUCUUUGCCGAACUUUUGUUCCUAUUUUAAGUUUUUUCGUUUAUAUGAAUUUAGUAGAAUUGGUAUUGUUCAAAUGUCUCCAAACAGAAUGAGAAACCUAUAUUUUGAUCACAAUUUUUUUCUCGCUUUUGAUGGUUGUAACUAGGCAUUAUAUGGAGAAGACUGCACUGCUUGCUCUUUGAUGUCAACUACUUGACAUCUUUGACUAAGGUCUUAUAAUUCUACUCAUUCUGGGGGGAAAUUACUCAGUCAACCCAAGCAAGGUAGCAACAUUCUAAUUCUCCAAAAUUAUAUGGUAAUUCAUCAACUAUAUUAUUUAGUUGUUAUGAUAUUACUUAUGUUGAGUUUAUGGAUCUUUAUUUUGAUAAUAUUGGAUUCCAUUUGAUACCAACUGCUUAUAUGUAUGUAACAAAAGCUUUGAAUAUGGACAGUUUGAUAAGGCUAGCUUAUUCAUGGGAAUGUCCAGUAGAGCCCUGUACUGUUGUCUUGAACUAUGUACAAUAAUUAAUCUUUUUUUUUCAUAUUCGACCAAAAUUUAUAACACAACUGAAUCAUGCGAAGAACAUUUCACAAAAUUUGAUUGAAGCAGGGUUUGGUUUAAGGUACAUAAGCACAUAGAAGAGAGAAUCUAUUUUGCCCUCAUUAGAAUGCACAUUGGUGCUGAAAGAAUAUGUAUGAUAUGACCUUACCUAGAUCUUGCAAUUAUUAUCUAAUAUUGUGUUCAUUCUUGGGGUUGAAUAUUUACAAAUUCAUCCUCCUGAAAAUUGUCCACUGUACGAAGGUAUUGGAGGCUCUAAGAUUUUAGACAUGAGGCAAGUAAGUGAUAUUUGUAUGUGAUGUAAACUAGAUAAAUGAGUUACCAACAGUUAAUUGACUUGAUUUAUAAAUGACUUGAAUGACAAAAUAUUGAACUAGAAUAGAAUGCAUGGCACUCUUUUCUUAAUCUUAUUUUUUAAGUCAUUUGAUGUCUCCAUGUGUUAUAUGUCUGAAACGACUAAAUAAUGUUUUACUGUGUUUUUCUUUUGACUGAUGUUCUAAAAUACACACUUAUUUAUCAGUCAUGAAUUUGAUACAUUAUGUACUUAUACUAGAUAGUAGCGAUUAACAAUAUUUAUGAGUUGGCUCAAGCAUACUUUCAUUGUUAUGUCUGUACUAUGUAAAAUUAUUUCAAGGCCAGUUCGCUUGUUGUUUUUCUUUGUUAUUUUGUUUAGUUUAGUGAAAUAUGGUCAUUGCCUAUAGUGGAUGUAACUUGGAAUCUAAAAGUACAAUUGGCUUAAUACUGAUUGUGAAGAAACAGAUAUCGAGUUUAGCUCUCUUUUUUUUCUUUUUCGAAGUAUAGAGGCUAAGUAUGCAUAUACUACACAUUGUAAGAAGGUUGUCCUUUCUUGAAUAUCAACAAAUAUGCCAACUUUGACGUCAAAGUUCUCUAUAUAAGCUGGACAAAAUUGUCAUUUUUUUGGAUUUCUAAUGUAGGUUAAUAAAGAGGAACGCGAAGGAGAAAUGAUUUUCAGAUUUACUGUAUCUUGAUUCAAUCAGUAAGUGAUAUAUGAAAAAGGUCUCUUUAUUACAUCCCUUAACAAGGAAAGACUCUAACAUCCAGCGAAACUAUCACAAGCACUCCAUGCCUAACAAUCAUUAAAGCCUUAUCACUAUAAUUACCUUUCUUUGAGAUUAAGACAGACCAAGAGAUUUUUAUAUAAAGUGGAAAAAGAUUCAUGCUUAAAAUGCGCGCUUUUUCUUUGAAGAGUAUAAGAUAUUCAUGAGGUUUAAGCACACAGAGAUAGUGAUUGUAAUUUUUUUGAUUUCUUCUGUUUCUAUUAGUUUUUUUGUAGUAGCUGUUGUAGAUUUAUAAUGCUGCAAUAAAUAUAAGUAAUGCAUGACAUAUUAUUUAACGUUUCUGUAGAUCCUUUAGUCUGUCAGACUAUGAUUACCCAAAAGGUCAUUACUUAUUUUAGAAAUAUAUUUAGUAUUUUGAGGCCUAAAGACCUCCAUUUUACCUCACCUUGAUUUGCGCGUGUGGUCCGGACCUAUAUCCAGAAAGCCUUUUAUGUGAAAAGAUGAGAAAUAUAAAUUUCUAGAAUUAAAAAUUUGAUUUUGGUUGACUUGGUCAAUAUUUUGAGCAAACGGACCCGGAUUCAUAUUCCUACGAUCCCGGGAGGUCCGCAGUAAUAUACGGGACUUGGGCGUAUGCCCGAAAAUGAAUUCUGAGGUCCCAAGCCUUAGAAAUUAAUUUUUGAAAGAAAUUAUUUUGCUGAAUUAUCUAAGAAAUGAAGAAAAGAAUUAAUGUUUGAAACCAUUGGUAUCGGGCCCGUAUUUUGGUUCCGGAGCCCGAUACAAAUUUCUAAUAUUAUUUAAAAUAUAACUAUGAAACUUGGUGAAAAAUGGAGUUUAUUUGACAUGAGUUAGACUUCCGGUUGAAGAGUUAUGAACUUUGAGUGUUCUUGAUGAAAAUGUUGAGUUUUGAGGUUUAAUUCAUAGUUUUACAUGUUAUUUUGAUGAUGUGAUCGCACGAGUAGGUCCAUAUGAUAUUUUUGAGUUAGUGUACACAUUUGGUUUGAAGUCCCGAGGGUUCGAGUGAGUUUCGGGUAGGUUCCGGUAUGUUUUAGGUUUAAAACAUAGCUGCUGCAGGUUCAGAGAAGUUGCAAAUCUUUGAACCCGCCAGUGUGAUCCGUAAUGAUUUUGUGCUACCGCGGAGGGGCCUUUGCGACCACAUUCGAUUUUGUGCCGUCCACGGUGAGGAAGAAUCCGCAGGUUCACUGGUCUGACUUCGGAAGCCUAUAUCUUUUGAUCUACAAGGAAAUUUGAGAUGAUUCAAAAACGAAAGUUGUAGCCCUUCAUGUCUGGUUUCCAGGGUUUCAUCCCAGAAUCUAGGGUUUUCAUGGUGGAAUUGGGUUUUGGGUAAAACCUAAGAAUAUUAAAAUUUGGGGAUUUAGACCUCAAAGGUCGGAUUCCAAAACCAAUUAUAUAUCCGGGCUCAGAGGUGAAUGGGUAAUCGGGUUUUGGUCCGAAUUUCGGGUUUGGACCAAGCGGACCCGGGGUCGAUUUUUGACUUUUUGGGAAAAACCUUAAAAAACAUAUUUUCAUGCAUUAGAAUUGAUUCAUUUAGCAAUUAUUAAUAUAAUUAAGUAAUUUGUGGCUAGAUACGAGCGAGUUGGUGGUGGAAUCAAGAGGUAAAGCAAUAGUUGAAGCUUAAAUUGUGUUUGUUGCAUCGAGGUAAGUGUUUGGUCUAACCUUAGCUUGCGGGAUUAGAAGUUGUGUCUUAUCUGCUAUGUGCUAACUGUGGAGUAUGACGUAUAGGCAUGGUGACAAGUAUCUAUACGUCGGUGUCAAGCAUGCCCGUGAGUCUUAUAUUGUAAUCGUUAUGACUCCGUUGUGGUUUAUUGUGCUUCGUGUGAGGAUUAUCAUUAUUGUUCCCUUGCCGGGAUGUUGUUAUGAUAUUAUUGUUCCUUUGUCGGGAUGUUUGUUGUGAUAUUAUUGUUCCCUUGCUAGGAUGUUGUUAUUAUGCGAUUCUUCCCUUACCGAGAUUCUUUUAUGAUUGGUGUUGAUAUAUGAAAUGGGAGCGACUUGAACGCCCGCAACGGAAAUAUAUGAAAUGGGAGCGGGUUGCACGCCUGCAACGGAAGUUAUAUGAAAUGGGAGCGAGUUUCAUGCCUACAACAGUAAUAUAUAAAAUGGGAGCGGGUUGCACGCUUGCAAUGGUAGUAUAUGAAAUGGGAGCGGGUUGCACGCCUGCAACAAUACAAUAUGAAAUGGGAGUGGGUUGCAAGCCUGCAACGGUACAAUAUGAAAUGAGAUCGGGUUGCACGUCUGCAACGGUAUUACAUGUGUACUUGUUCUUCUUAUUUCCUUAUCUCUGCUGGUAAUUGAUUUAUGGUAUUCCUUACAUUUCUCUACUAUUAUUCUAUUGUUAUCUGUUACUCCCCGCAACAUAUUUCCCCCGCCCAACUUUAGUUAUAAUUAUCUGCUUCUAUUUCCGUUGUAUAUGAUUUAACUGCACAGGUUUAUUUGCUAGUCUGGUCCUAGCCUCGUCACUACUUCGUCGAGGUUAGGCUAGGCACUUACCAACACAUGGGGUGAGUUGUGCUGAUACUAUACUCUGCACUCUUAGUGCAGAUCCCAGUGCUGUAGAUUUCAAACCGCAAUGAGAUUGCUGUUUCUUAUUCAUCAGGAGACCCGAGGUAGUCUUGCAGGCAUCCGCAGGCCUUGACGUCCCCCUCUAUAUACUAUUCCUAUUUCUUUCAUGUAUUUCCAGAGACAGUGUUGUAUUUAUUUAUUUCAGACCUUUAUUUGUAGUACUCCUAGACAGUCUGUGAAGUUGUGACACCAGUCUUGAGUAGAUUUGUUAUGGAUUGGUACUAAUAGUAUUAUGAAAACUUUACAAUGCAGCCUUCCACUUAUUUAAUCCUGUUG
rnacentral:lncRNA from 1 species